CUUAAGUUUGUGUACCUGCUGUAAAUAUGGACAGAUAGUAAUAUGUGGGAUUUAGGUGGGCAUGUAAUGAGUCUGUUUAUGCCCAUGAAGAACCUACCUUACAUAG